rnacentral:misc_RNA from 1 species
AACGCACAUUGCGCCCCUUGGUAUUCCAUGGGGCAUGCCUGUUCGAGCGUCAUUUGUACCUUCAAGCUCUGCUUGGUGUUGGGUGUUUGUCCGCUGCUCCAGCAGACUCGCCUCAAAUACAUUGGCAGCCGGCAAUCUGGUGUUAGAGCGCAGCACAAUUUGCGCUUUGGGCCACGACGGUCGGCAUCCAAGAAGUCUACCUUUCACGUUUGACCUCGGAUCAGGUAGGGAUACCCGCUGAACUUAA